rnacentral:rRNA from 1 species
UACGUAGGGGGCAAGCGUUAUCCGGAUUUACUGGGUGUAAAGGGAGCGUAGACGGCGAUGCAAGUCUGAAGUGAAAGCCCGGGGCUCAACCCCGGGACUGCUUUGGAAACUGUAUGGCUGGAGUGCUGGAGAGGCAAGCGGAAUUCCUAGUGUAGCGGUGAAAUGCGUAGACAUUAGGAAGAACACCAGUGGCGAAGGCGGCUUGCUGGACAGUAACUGACGUUGAGGCUCGAAAGCGUGGGGAGCAAACAGG